CUAGAAUAUUUUAUUUGAACUUUCAAGGCAG
rnacentral:piRNA from 1 species